AUUGAACGCUGGCGGCAGGCCUAACACAUGCAAGUCGAACGGUAACAGGAAGAAGCUUGCUUCUUUGCUGACGAGUGGCGGACGGGUGAGUAAUGUCUGGGAAACUGCCUGAUGGAGGGGGCUAACUACUGGAAACGGUAGCUAAUACCGCAUAACGUCGCAAGACCAAAGAGGGGGACCUUCGGGCCUCUUGCCAUCGGAUGUGCCCAGAUGGGAUUAGCUAGUGGGUGGGGUAACGGCUCACCUAGGCGACGAUCCCUAGCUGGUCUGAGAGGAUGACCAGCCACACUGGAACUGAGACACGGUCCAGACUCCUACGGGAGGCAGCAGUGGGGAAUAUUGCACAAUGGGCGCAAGCCUGAUGCAGCCAUGCCGCGUGUAUGAAGAAGGCCUUCGGGUUGUAAAGUACUUUCAGCGGGGAGGAAGGGGGUAAAGUUAAUACCUUUGCUCAUUGACGUUACCCGCAGAAGAAGCACCGGCUAACUCCGUG
rnacentral:rRNA from 1 species